rnacentral:rRNA from 1 species
AGCGGAUUUCGUAUGUAGCUUGCUACAAACUGAGAUUAGCGGCGGACGGGUGAGUAACACGUAGGCAACCUGCCCUGAAGACCGGGAUAACAUUCGGAAACGAAUGCUAAGACCGGAUAGGCAGCGAGAUGGCAUCAUCUUGCUGAGAAACACGGUGCAAGCUGUGGCUUUGGGAUGGGCCUGCGGCGCAUUAGCUAGUUGGUGGGGUAACGGCUCACCAAGGCGACGAUGCGUAGCCGACCUGAGAGGGUGAACGGCCACACUGGGACUGAGACACGGCCCAGACUCCUACGGGAGGCAGCAGUAGGGAAUCUUCCACAAUGGGCGCAAGCCUGAUGGAGCAACGCCGCGUGAGUGAGGAAGGCUUUCGGGUCGUAAAGCUCUGUUGCCAGGGAAGAAUAAGGGCCAGUUAACUGCUGGUCCGAUGACGGUACCUGAGAAGAAAGCCCCGGCUAACUACGUGCCAGCAGCCGCGGUAAUACGUAGGGGGCAAGCGUUGUCCGGAAUUAUUGGGCGUAAAGCGCGCGCAGGCGGUCUUUUAAGUCUGGUGUCUAAGUGCGGGGCUCAACCCCGUGAUGCACUGGAAACUGGGAGACUUGAGUGCAGAAGAGGAGAGCGGAAUUCCACGUGUAGCGGUGAAAUGCGUAGAGAUGUGGAGGAACACCAGUGGCGAAGGCGGCUCUCUGGACUGUAACUGACGCUG